rnacentral:rRNA from 1 species
AGUGAACGCUGGCGGUAGGCCUAACACAUGCAAGUCGAACGGCAGCACAGUAAGAGCUUGCUCUUACGGGUGGCGAGUGGCGGACGGGUGAGGAAUACAUCGGAAUCUACUUUUUCGUGGGGGAUAACGUAGGGAAACUUACGCUAAUACCGCAUACGACCUACGGGUGAAAUCAGGGGAUCUUCGGACCUUGCGCGAUUGAAUGAGCCGAUGUCGGAUUAGCUAGUUGGCGGGGUAAAGGCCCACCAAGGCGACGAUCCGUAGCUGGUCUGAGAGGAUGAUCAGCCACACGGGAACUGAGACACGGUCCAGACUCCUACGGGAGGCAGCAGUGGGGAAUAUUGGACAAUGGGCGCAAGCCUGAUCCAGCCAUACCGCGUGGGUGAAGAAGGACUUCGGGUUGUAAAGCCCUUUUGUUGGGAAAGAAAAGCAGCAGGUUAAUACCCCGCUGUUCUGACGGUACCCAAAGAAUAAGCACCGGCUAACUUCGUG